rnacentral:lncRNA from 1 species
UUUGCAGUUGAGGAGAAGCUGAGCACCAGGGUUAUUUUGAACAGCUAUUGACGUAAUGGAGGUAUUUGACAUGGACAUUUUGAAACAGCAUGAACAUAAGCUUUAAAUGAAUGACCGGCUGCCUCUGUUCACGCUCAUGCUGCAUGCUGUGAUGCAUGUAGGAAGAAUGUCAGAGGGGAUUACAAUGAGAGGAAUGUAGCACAGCUUUGUCAUCUUAAUUUGCAUCAAAUUAUGCCUUCAUCAAUUGGCUUUGUGUUUAGAGUUACUUAACCGUUUCCUCAUCAAUGUAAAAUGGCCUGAAGCAGAAUUAGGCCUCCAAUAAACUCUCAACUCCUGUUGUGAGGUCGAUUAAGAUGCUGAAAAGUUUACUUUCCUUGAUGUUCAUAGACUUGUACCACAGAGAGGUUAAGUUGCCAUCUACAGUACUAACAACAAUGUCGGUUGUGAUUUGGCACUAUAUGAAUAAAAAUUGAUUGAACAAUGUUACAUAUUGCGAGAGAAUUUGGCACAGAAAUGCAUACUCCUUGACAUCCAUGAUUCCAAAAGUAGGACUCCGAUGAAGUACUUGAACACUGUAUAAUAAGCUAGUCAACGGGAUAUAAAAAUAGACACCAGCAUAAACAUUCAGACCUCUAAAGUAGUCAUCUGUAAAAUAAAUUGAGGUUUGUAUAACUUAUGAUCUGGGACACAGUGAUUCGAGUUUCUCACCCUGACUUUGGUUUCACAGGGGGUAUUGCUAAAGCGGGAAUAUGAUAUAUUGCUUAGAAAUCCCACUCUGUAUGAUCACAUGAUGAAUAGCAAGGGACCUCUAAGUUAGCAGAGCUAAUACUGUGGAUUACCUGCAUCAGAUGGCUGAUGAGACAUGAUGUCUUACAGCGCCCUCAAUCUAACUGUGUCGUGUGGGUUUAGACUUUUAUUAUAAAAUAUAAACUAUUUUAUUAUUAGUUAAAUAACCUUGGUUAUUGGUUAUUGACACAUGCAGUCGUUUAUGAUGUAUGUCUUGUAAUUACAGUCACAAUGAGUUAAUAUUCCCAAAUUUGAGCAUGUGAUUCAGCAGGUCUCCACAUUUCCACUUCUUAAAGCCUUUAGGCAGUGAUUCAUUAGGCCUCAGGGACAGAGUGAGUGAAUGUGGAUUUGUGGCAUUUUGUCCUUUUCGCCUCUUUUUGAAAGGCUAAUGAGGCAAAACGGGUCUAACAACUUAUGACCUCAAAAUUAGUCAAAUUAUUGUAGCCCACAGAAAUCUUCUCAUUUGAGGAUUUUUGACCGAAGAAGGCCAGUCCGUGUUGGGCCUGAAGUGUUGCCAGCUUUCCAAAUCUGAUGCAUAACACUUUUUAACGGACUACUGAGACGCUCAUUUCACUGUUGCUGCAGAGUUACACUUGGAAUCACUGGGGUAAGGAAAUGGGACUGUUUGGUCAUCCCUUGAGCUGGCAUAGCUUUUGAAUGGCGCCUUUUCCAGAUUUAUUGUGCAAACUAAAGGAUCAUUAAUGCAAACUUCAUAUAGUCUGACCUGAGUUUAAACAAAAACUGUUGAGGAUGUUGUCAGGUAUGUCUAAAAUACCCAUAACAAAAGGAGCAUUUUAAAGUGAUAGAUGAGAAAAACAGUUACAUGCAAAGCAUGGGGACAGCUUAGCAAUGAGGAAUAUGGAAAUAAAAUGUCAGUGUUUCCUGAGAUAUGUUAAGUUUUUGUCUGGACCAAAUAGAUUAGAAAAUCUCAAGGGUGCAGUUUGUAGUGAUGCUAUAUUGCACUGGAGAUGAAGACAUGUCAUUUUUUGUUAAUGCUAUUGGUGUUUAAAAUUUUGACUGACAAUAUAGAGUGAAAGCUUAGUAUUGUUACUACAUGAUGGACAAAGUUCUACGUAGCCUUGUAUUCACAUUACAGCCUGGUGUAUGUAGAUGCAGUAGAACAUUGUAAUGCACUGCUUCAUGAUCAAUACUUUCCAUAUGACUUCCUUUAUUUUGUCCUUUUUUUGUGGUGCAUUUUAAUUUUGUGUUGAUUUUUGGCCACCGGGAACAAAACCGGAAUGCCAAGUGUUGCAAUGAUAUUCUUUAAGUUAGCAUGCAUUUGUUUUUGAAUCCAGAGAAAAAUAGGUUUAACUUACAGUACAGGCCAAAAGUU